AUCACUUGCUUAGCCUUUUGACGGUCAUCAAGAGAAGUUUCUGUUCUUAUCACUUUAAUACCUGAAACAUCCUCUAUCUGAAGAAAUAGAACAAAAUAUUGAGCGAGUUUUUGGAGGAAGAUGAAAUGGAAGCUUAUUCUUUCUGUCCACUCCAGACAUUGAUCUGGUAUUACAGCAUCACCAAGAAACACACACCCCUG